rnacentral:rRNA from 1 species
AUUGAACGCUCGCGGCAUGCUUAACACAUGCAAGUCGAGCGAGCGGCGGACGGGUUAGUAAUGUCUGGGACACUGCCUGAUGGAUGGGGAUAACUACUGUAAACGGUAGCUAAUACCGCAUCCCAUCAGAUGUGCCCAGAUGGGAUUAGCUAGUAGGUGGGGUAAUGGCGCACCUACGCGACGAUCCCUAGUUUGUCUGAGAGGAUGAACAGCAACACUGGAACGGAGACACGGUCCAGACUCCUACGGGAGGCAGCAGUGGGGAAUAUUGCAGAAUGGGCGCAAGCCUGAUGCAGCCAUGCCGCGUGUGGGAAGAAGGCCUUCGGGUUGUAAAGAACUUUCCGCGAGGAGGCGGUACUCGCAGAAGAAGCACCGGCUAACUCCGUGCCAGCAGCCGCGGUAAUUC